UACGUAGGGUGCAAGCGUUAAUCGGAAUUACUGGGCGUAAAGCGUGCGCAGGCGGUUUUGUAAGCCAGAUGUGAAAUCCCCGGGCUUAACCUGGGAAUGGCAUUUGGGACUGCAAGGCUUGAGUGUGGCAGAGGAGACUGGAAUUCCUGGUGUAGCAGUGAAAUGCGUAGAUAUCAGGAGGAACACUGAUGGCGAAGGCAGGUCUCUGGGACUAACACUGGACGCUCAUGCACGAAAG
rnacentral:rRNA from 1 species